GCUUGCUACUUUUGCCGGCGAGCGGGACACGGAUGAGUAAUGCCUGGAAAAUUGCCCAGUCGAGGGGUAUAAGCCUUGGAAACGACUGCUAAUACCGCAUACGCCCUACGGGGGAAAGCAGGGGACCUUCGGGCCUUGCGCUAUUCAACAUCCCCCGGUGUAAUUAGCUUGUUGAUGAGGUAAUGGCUCACCAAGGCGACGAUCCCUAGAUGAUCUGAGAGGAUCAUCAGCCACGCUUUAACUGAGACACGCUCCAGACUCCUACGGGAGGCAGCAGUGGGGAAUAUUGCAUAAUGGGCGAAACCCUGCUGCAGCCUUGCCGCGUGUGUGAAGAAGGCCUUCGGGUUGUAAAGCAUUUUCGGCGAGGAGGAAUGGAUGAACGUACUACGGAUCGUCUGUGACGUUACUCGCAGAAGAACACCGGCUAACUCCGUGCCAGCCGCCGCGGUAAUACGGAGGGUGCAUGCGUUAGUCGGAAUUACUGGACGUACAGCGCACGCAGGUCGUUGUAUUUGUUAGA
rnacentral:rRNA from 1 species